rnacentral:rRNA from 1 species
GACGAACGCUGGCGGCGUGCUUAACACAUGCAAGUCGAACGGAAAGGCCCUGCUUUUGUGGGGUGCUCGAGUGGCGAACGGGUGAGUAACACGUGAGUAACCUGCCCUUGACUUUGGGAUAACUUCAGGAAACUGGGGCUAAUACCGGAUAGGAGCUCCUGCUGCAUGGUGGGGGUUGGAAAGUUUCGGCGGUUGGGGAUGGACUCGCGGCUUAUCAGCUUGUUGGUGGGGUAGUGGCUUACCAAGGCUUUGACGGGUAGCCGGCCUGAGAGGGUGACCGGCAACAUUGGGACUGAGAUACGGCCCAGACUCCUACGGGAGGCAGCAGUGGGGAAUAUUGCACAAUGGGCGGAAGCCUGAUGCAGCAACGCCGCGUGCGGGAUGACGGCCUUCGGGUUGUAAACCGCUUUCGCCUGUGACGAAGCGUGAGUGACGGUAAUGGGUAAAGAAGCAACGGCUAACUACGUG